rnacentral:lncRNA from 1 species
UCCCUUCAAGCCUUGAGAUUAGAUCUCAAAGCUCUCUCCUCCUUCCCUUCUAAAGAAGUCCUCUAGCAUCUUCAUCCAUCUUUCUUGCGAAGAUUGGCAUGCGAGCGAAGUAGAGGGUUUAGACAUUUGGAUCUUGCGAAGCAAUGAUCUUCAAGAGUCAAUCUACCUUGAUCAUAUUUUUGUUAUGCAUCAAGGUAACUUUCAUAAGAGUUAUAAAAAAAUUAAAUUUAAAAUCUGUUCUUUUUUUCCCCUUGGCAUUCAAUCC